rnacentral:rRNA from 1 species
UACGUAGGGUGCAAGCGUUGUCCGGAAUUAUUGGGCGUAAAGAGCUCGUAGGCGGUCUGUCGCGUCUGCUGUGAAAACUCAGGGCUCAACCCCGAGCCUGCAUUCGAUACGGGCAGACUAGAGUUCGGUAGGGGAGACUGGAAUUCCUGGUGUAGCGGUGAAAUGCGCAGAUAUCAGGAGGAACACCGGUGGCGAAGGCGGUCUGCUGGGCAGUUUCUGACACUGAGGCGCGACAGCGUGGGGAGCAAACAGG